ensembl:misc_RNA Metazoa_SRP Metazoan signal recognition particle RNA
GCCGGGUGCAGUGGCGCGUGCCUGUAGUCCCAGCUACUCGGGAGGCUAAGGUGGGAGGAUCGCUUGAGCCCAGGAGUUCUGGGCUGUAGUGCACUGUGCCGAUCGGGUAUUCACACUAAGUUCGGCAUCAAUAUGGUGAUCUCCCGGGAGCAGGGGACCACCAGGUUACCUAAGGAGGGGUGAACCAGCCCAGGUCGGAAACGGAGCAGGUCAAAACUCCCGUGCUGAUCAGCAGUGGGAUCCCGCCUGUGAAUAGCCACUGCACUCCAGCCUGGGCGACAUAGUGAGACCCCAUCUCU